rnacentral:rRNA from 1 species
GGGAACCUGAUGCAGCCAUGCCGCGUGUGUGAAGAAGGCCUUCGGGUUGUAAAGCACUUUCAGUUGUGAGGAAAAGUUAGUAGUUAAUACCUGCUAGCCGUGACGUUAACAACAGAAGAAGCACCGGCUAACUCCGUGCCAGCAGCCGCGGUAAUACGGAGGGUGCGAGCGUUAAUCGGAAUUACUGGGCGUAAAGCGCACGCAGGCGGUUUGUUAAGCUAGAUGUGAAAGCCCCGGGCUCAACCUGGGAUGGUCAUUUAGAACUGGCAGACUAGAGUCUUGGAGAGGGGAGUGGAAUUCCAGGUGUAGCGGUGAAAUGCGUAGAUAUCUGGAGGAACAUCAGUGGCGAAGGCGACUCCCUGGCCAAAGACUGACGCUCAUGUGCGAAAGUGUGGGUAGCGAACAGGAUUAGAUACCCUGGUAGUCCACACCGUAAACGCUGUCUACUAGCUGUUUGUGGCUUUAAGCCGUGAGUAGCGAAGCUAACGCGCUAAGUAGACCGCCUGGGGAGUACGGCCGCAAGGUUAAAACUCAAAUGAAUUGACGGGGGCCCGCACAAGCGGUGGAGCAUGUGGUUUAAUUCGAUGCAACGCGAAGAACCUUACCUACACUUGACAUGCAGAGAACUUUCCAGAGAUGGAUUGGUGCCUUCGGGAACUCUGACACAGGUGCUGCAUGGCUGUCGUCAGCUCGUGUCGUGAGAUGUUGGGUUAAGUCCCGCAACGAGCGCAACCCUUGUCCUUAGUUGCCAGCAUUCAGUUGGGCACUCUAAGGAGACUGCCGGUGACAAACCGGAGGAAGGUGGGGA